rnacentral:rRNA from 1 species
GACGAACGCUGGCGGCGUGCUUAACACAUGCAAGUCGAACGGAAAGGCCUCUUUCGGGGGGUACUCGCGUGGCGAACGGGUGAGUAACACGUGAGUAACCUGCCCUUGACUUUGGGAUAACUUCAGGAAACUGGGGCUAAUACCGGAUAGGAGCUCCUGCUGCAUGGUGGGGGUUGGAAAGUUUCGGCGGUUGGGGAUGGACUCGCGGCUUAUCAGCUUGUUGGUGGGGUAGUGGCUUACCAAGGCUUUGACGGGUAGCCGGCCUGGGAGGGUGACCGGCCACAUUGGGACUGAGAUAAGGCCCAGACUCCUACGGGAGGCAGCAGUGGGGAAUAUUGCACAAUGGGUGGAAGCCUGAUGCAGCAACGCCGUGUGCGGGAUGACGGACUUCGGGUUGUAAACCGCUUUCGCUCAUGACGAAGCUUUGUGUGACGGUAGUGGGUAAAGAAGCACCGGCUAACUACGUG